AUUUGGUUGAUGAGUUCCCAAUAGGACGAAACGCACGUCCUGAAU
rnacentral:hammerhead_ribozyme from 1 species